UACGUAGGGGGCAAGCGUUGUCCGGAUUUAUUGGGCGUAAAGAGCGUGUAGGCGGCUUCACAGGUCCGCUGUGAAAACUCGAGGCUCAACCUCGAGAUGUCGGUGGAAACCGUGUGGCUAGAGUCCGGAAGAGGAGAGUGGAAUUCCCGGUGUAGCGGUGAAAUGCGCAGAUAUCGGGAAGAACACCCGUGGCGAAGGCGGUUCUCUGGGACGGUACUGACGCUGAGACGCGAAAGCGUGGGGAGCGAACAGG
rnacentral:rRNA from 1 species